AGCGAACGCUGGCGGAAGGAAGAACACAUGCAAGUCGAACGGACCCUUCGGGGUUAGUGGCGGACGGGUGAGUAACACGUGGGAACGUGCCUUUAGGUUCGGAAUAGCUCCUGGAAACGGGUGGUAAUGCCGAAUGUGCCCUUCGGGGGAAAGAUUUAUCGCCUUUAGAGCGGCCCGCGUCUGAUUAGCUAGUUGGUGAGGUAACGGCUCACCAAGGCGACGAUCAGUAGCUGGUCUGAGAGGAUGACCAGCCACACUGGGACUGAGACACGGCCCAGACUCCUACGGGAGGCAGCAGUGGGGAAUCUUGCGCAAUGGGCGAAAGCCUGACGCAGCCAUGCCGCGUGAAUGAUGAAGGUCUUAGGAUUGUAAAAUUCUUUCACCGGGGACGAUAAUGACGGUACCCGGAGAAGAAGCCCCGGCUAACUUCGUG
rnacentral:rRNA from 1 species